rnacentral:lncRNA from 1 species
UGCUCCUGCUCCUGCUCCUGCUCCUGCUCCUGCUCCUGCUCCUAAAAAGGUAAGAAAUUUAGUGUGCAUGAAGAGACUCAAACCUUGACCCUCAAAAGAGGAAAGUCUCGUUCACAAACCACUUCACCAAUCUUGUUUUUGUGGUAUUUUAUCAGUUACGCAAUAUUUAUAUUAAUAGUCAAUGGUUUGUUUUUUUUUAAAGAAAAUUAUUUCCUUUAUUUUGUUCAGUUAUUCCCAUAAUAUAUAUACAAAUGAUAACUUUUAAAUUAAUAUUUCACAGUCCCAUUCUAUUGAGGGAUCCCUCAAAUAAUUUUAUUUGAGGGACACCAUUUAGGAUACCCAACAAUUUUUUUUUCAUUAAUCCAAACCAUCUAUUUUUUAGGUCUUCAUUCAUAGAUCAUCCUUACAAAAAAUUAGACAAAUUGGAAACCGUUUCAACAUCCAAUUGUGUCCUACAAAAUCAAUGAACACGGUACUUUAAGAAAGUACUAAAAUUUCAAUAACUCAAUUGAAUGGUCAAAUGAUAUCGGAUUCAAGUGAUUUUUCGUAGAGAUGAUCUUUGAAUGUGUAUCUACAAAAUAGACAGUUUGGAUUAGUGAAAUACAAUCUGGAGUGGACCCUACAAGGGGUGUCCCUCAAAUAAAUUAUUUGAGGGAUUCCUCAAUAGAAGCUUUCUGUAAUAUUUCAAGGUUAUAUAUGUGCGUGUGUGUGUGUAUAUAUAUAUAUAUGUAUGGAUGAAUAUUUUGGAAAUAAUUUACUUUAAAUCGUAAUUAAAUUGGUACCUCUACCUCCUGAUUAUCGGGAGAUGGUGUAUUUGCAGGUGCAUUAUUCUCCGGGUUUGGAUGCAACAAAGUUUCUUCCGUGCUACAAACCAACAGAUUGAGAAAAUAUUUUCUAUCAGUGGAAUGGAAGCCAUGCAUACACAUGAAAAAGCAAACAGAUAAAAGAAAGCAAUCUUUUACAACUGUCUUGUUUAUUAAAGAUAGAGAGCUAGCUUAAUUAGCCACUCUCUCUCUAUCCGCUCGCACUUUAAUCUUUACAUUUUGC